UGGGGAAUAUUGGACAAUGGGCGAAAGCCUGAUCCAGCCAUGCCGCGUGUGUGAAGAAGGUCUUCGGAUUGUAAAGCACUUUAAGUUGGGAGGAAGGGCAGUAAGCGAAUACCUUGCUGUUUUGACGUUACCGACAGAAUAAGCACCGGCUAACUCUGUGCCAGCAGCCGCGGUAAUACAGAGGGUGCAAGCGUUAAUCGGAAUUACUGGGCGUAAAGCGCGCGUAGGUGGUUCGUUAAGUUGAAUGUGAAAGCCCCGGGCGCAACCUGGGAACUGCAUCCAAAACUGGCGAGCUAGAGUAGGGCAGAGGGGGGUGGAAUUUCCUGUGUAGCGGAGAAAUGCGUAGAUAUAGGAAGGAGCACCAGUGGCGAAGGCGACCACCUGGGCUCAUACUGACACUGAGGUGCGAAAGGGUGGGGAGCAAACAAG
rnacentral:rRNA from 1 species